GCCCUGGGUUCAUUAACAGGAAUAUUAUCAGGUGAUCACCACUCCCACCUCUCUCCACAUCAUCUGGGGCAUCAGGAGGCCUUAUUGGAGGCAGAAGGUACCGAGUGCUGAAAGAGACACCCAAGACAGAUAGAGACUGAAAGGGAGACAGAGACUGAAAGGGAGACAGAUAGAGAUUGAAAGGGAGACAGAUAGAGAUUGAAAGGGAGACAGAUAGACAGAAAGGGAGACAGAUAGAGACAGAAAGGGAGACAGAGACAGAUAGAGACUGAAAGGGAGACAGAGACAGAUAGAGACAGAAAGGGAGACAGAUAGAGACUGAAAGGGAGACAGAUAGAGACUGAAAGGGAGACAGAUAAAGACGGAAAGGGUGAAAGAUAGAGACAGAAAGGGGGACAGAGACAGACGGAAAGGUAGAAAGAGACAGAAAGGGAGACAGAGAGGCAGACAGAGACAGAAAGGGAGACAGAGACAGAGAAAGGGAGACAGAGAAAGGGAGACAGAGAAAGGGAGACAGAGAAAGGGAGACAGAGAAAGGGAGACAGAGAAAGGGAGAGAAAGGGAGACAGAUAGAAAGGGAGACAGAUAGAGACAGAAAGGGAGACAGAUAGAGACAGAAAGGGAGACAGAUAGAGACAGAAAGGGAGACAGAGAAAGAGAAAGACAGAAAGGGAGACAAAUAGAGACUUAAAGGGAGACACAUAAAGACAGAAAGGGAGAC
rnacentral:lncRNA from 1 species